rnacentral:rRNA from 1 species
UGGGGAAUAUUGCACAAUGGGCGAAAGCCUGAUGCAGCAACGCCGCGUGAGUGAUGAAGGCCUUCGGGUUGUAAAGCUCUGUCUUUUGGGACGAUAAUGACGGUACCAAAGGAGGAAGCCACGGCUAACUACGUGCCAGCAGCCGCGGUAAUACGUAGGUGGCAAGCGUUGUCCGGAUUUACUGGGCGUAAAGGAUGCGUAGGCGGAUUUUUAAGUGAGAUGUGAAAUACCCGGGCUUAACUUGGGUGCUGCAUUUCAAACUGGGAAUCUAGAGUGCGGGAGAGGAGAAUGGAAUUCCUAGUGUAGCGGUGAAAUGCGUAGAGAUUAGGAAGAACACCAGUGGCGAAGGCGAUUCUCUGGACCAUACUGAGCUGAGGCAUGAAAGCGUGGGUAGCAAACAGGAUUAGAUACCCUGGUAGUCCACGCCGUAAACGAUGAGUACUAGGUGUAGGAGGUAUCGACCCCUUCUGUGCCGCAGUUAACACAAUAAGUACUCCGCCUGGGAAGUACGAUCGCAAGAUUAAAACUUAAAUGAAUUGACGGGGUCAUAGC